rnacentral:rRNA from 1 species
GACGAACGCUGGCGGCGUGCUUAACACAUGCAAGUCGAGCGGAAAGGCUCCUUCGGGGGUACUCGAGCGGCGAACGGGUGAGUAACACGUGAGCAAUCUGCCCUUGGCUUUGGGAUAACUACCGGAAACGGUGGCUAAUACCGGAUACGACCACUCCUUGCAGGAGGUGGUGGUGGAAAGUUUUUUCGGCCAGGGAUGUGCUCGCGGCCUAUCAGCUUGUUGGUGGGGUAAUGGCCUACCAAGGCUUCGACGGGUAGCCGGCCUGAGAGGGUGACCGGCCACACUGGGACUGAGACACGGCCCAGACUCCUACGGGAGGCAGCAGUGGGGAAUAUUGGACAAUGGGCGGAAGCCUGAUCCAGCAACGCCGCGUGAGGGAUGACGGCCUGGUGUAACUCUUCUAGUACCGACGAAGCGCCGAUGAUGGUGGUGACGGUAGGUACGAGAAGAAGACACCGG